AGACUGCAGAGAGCUGUCUGGGAUUUGCAGCCCUGUACAGCCUGCAAAGGGAUUUCCAUUCACCUUUGGACUGAAAGUGAAGAUACUUUAUCUCAAAUAUGGGCAUCCUAUAGGUGUCUGGAGCCAUGGACAUGCAAAUACUAAUGACCAAAGGUGAAAAAAAUAGUUAUCAUGUCUGAGAUAACAUAGCAGCUAAAUAACUGUAAAAGAAGAAGAAAUAUAAAUUGAUGAGGGGAAAAUUAUGUGUCUUUGUAAACACUGGAGAAUUGAAAUCUUGAUUACCAACUUCCAUUUCUUGUUCUGGACUCAAUGGAAAGAUUUUCUGAGAAACACCUCCCUUUUCUGAAGAAGACAGCCGCUGAACACCAUAC